rnacentral:tRNA from 1 species
UCCCUGCUGGCUGAGAAGUUAAAACGUCUGCCUGCAAUGCGGGAGACCUGGGUUCUAUCCCUGGGUGGGGAA